AUUACAGUAUAAAAUAAAAUACUAAUCAACUUCAAGAAAUUCUUAAACUUUUUAAUAGGAUGCAUGCCUCCUAAGUAAUCAUUUUCAUUAUUUAACUUAUCUUUAAGGAGUUUCUAAAACUCAUAUUAUUAUAUACUUCUUCUUCCACUAUUUUCGGGCUUUGACUAAAGUGAUAUUCCAUACACUACUACAACUUUACGCAAAACUAUAACAACUCGGAUCACAACUAAUUAUUUUAGUUUGCUUAACCAAUUUAUUCUUCAGUCCAAAGUCCUUUAAAAAAAAUUAAUUCUAUCCUGUCUAGAAGCUCUUCUUACUCUUUGAUGAACGUUGGCCCAAUAAUUAAUUAUUCUAGCCUAUUAUAUUUUCCAUAGAACUAACCCACAAUCUUUGCACCAAAUUAGAUAUUCACCCAACUCUAAUUAAAUUAGUUACCCAAUUCUAGGAUUAAAUCAAUCCAUAUACUCCCCCUUCCCCACGUAUCGUCUCUCUCUCAUUCUCACUUGUUCACUCUCUUCCCCAAUUGCACAAAAUUAGACUCCUCCCCCAAAUCAGAUUUUCAUAUGCCUCCCAACAGCAAUCUGCUGCCAUCGACCCGCCGACUCCGAUGGUGUUUCCUCCUCCUCCUCGUCUCUCUCUCUCUCUCUCUCUCUCUCUCUCUCUCUCUCUCCCCCACUCCCUCUUCCUCUCUCGGCUGCUCACGCCACCGCCGCUACUGCUGAUGUGCGUGCAGCGGCGCGCCGUCGCACCUCUCCGUCUUUCGCCGUCGCUGUUGCAGCCUCGUCACAGUCGGGAUUCAAAUUGUAUAUGUGGUGGAAUUUUGGGAUUAAAUGUGUGGUAAUAAGCAGGAGGUGGAGGGGAGUAUUCAAGCAGGAGGUGGAGUACAAUCAAGCAGGAGGUGGAGGAUAGCAAUGAGGAAGGAGGUGGAGGAGAGCUAUCCACAAAGAGAUUUGGUGUUGGAGCUUUUGGGCUUCAAAGAAAAAUAAUUUUAGUGAUUUGGAUUCUCGGAGAGAGGACUUUCAAAAUGAUGAAAUAUUCUUUUUAAAAUUAGGUCCACAAGAAAUAAAUUCUUUUAUUUCUAUUAUGCA